CUCUGAAUGUAGCUUAAGUCUCUACUUAUUGGGAGCAAAAAUACACCACACUAGAGCCCCUUCCAAACUAUUGGGUUAAUGUUCAUGACUGUUAAUGAUCAAACUGGAGUACUGCACAGCUGGUCCUGCUGGUUCCAGGAAGGCUCAAAAAGAAAUGAAGGCAUCGGGAAGCUGUUGAUGUUGUGACCUGCUCCUGGGGCUCUCGUGCACACUGCACCUCUGCUCAGACAGAGCUGUGUCUCCUACCGCAUGGGUUCAGCCCACUCUUGGGAAGCGGCCUCUUUUGGGAAACGAGGGAACUUGCAAACGGCUUGUUAAAGGAAAAGCUUGCUGUCCUCUGCUCUGUGGUAUCCCGUGGACAACCAAAGGGGGACAUCACCACUGAACCCAGAGAGCGAGGCAUCCAGUCCCCCCACUGCGGAGCUGGGCCAAGCUGGAGGGAACAGUGGCCUUUCCUGCUGACCGUGCAUGGCCCACUGGUCCCCCAGAGAAGCUGCAGAGGAAAGCCCAGGCUGGCCAGCUCUGGGGUUGCCUACAGAGUCCAGUGCCCAGUGAUGCAGGGAAUCAAGUCGCUGGGGGCUCAGGGGCCAGCUCAAGCUAAGGAACCGGCACAGAAGUGAUGAGACGGCCUAGGACUUGGGUGGGACCAGAGCUGAUGUGUGGGUGAGUUGGCAGGAGUUGAGGGGAGGGAGGUGGGUCGAGGCCUGGCUUGAGAGGCUGGUUUUG
rnacentral:lncRNA from 12 species